UACGUAGGUGGCGAGCGUUAUCCGGAAUUACUGGGCGUAAAGCGCACGCAGGCGGCUGCCUAAGUCUGAUGUGAAAGCUCUCGGCUUAACUGGGAGAGGUCGUUGGAAACUGGGCAGCUUGAGGAAAUGAGGGGGGUGCGGAAUUCCCGGUGUAGUGGUGGAAUGCGUAGAUAUCGGGAGGAACACCAGUGGCGAAGGCGGCACCCUGGCAUUGUCCUGACGCUCAUGUGCGAAAGCGUGGGGAGCGAACGGG
rnacentral:rRNA from 1 species